rnacentral:lncRNA from 1 species
CUCUGCGGUCAACUCUCGGAGGACCCUCCGCGCUGUGGUCCAGGGCGGCUGCCCCCGUCUGCGUUCCCGCCCACAGGGCGGGAGGGGCCCCCUUUCUCGGCGACGUCGCCAGCGUCGGUUGUUGCCCGAGUUGCUGCUUUUAGCCGUUCUGGCGGGUGUGGGGUGGCGCCUCGUGCCUUUGAUUUGCAUUUCCGUGACGACCAGCGGCGUGGAGCGUAAUUGCGCGUCUGCAGAUUUGGGGGACGGCGUCUGUUUCGAUCUCUGCCCGGGUUUGAGUCGUGUUGCUGUGUGGCUGCUACUUGACUCGGGCGAGGCUUUUAUCUACUGAGCGCAUCAGCUCCUCAUCAGACACACGAGGCACAGGCGCUUCCUCUCCUUCCGGGCUCUCUCCCGCUUUGGUGCUAGUUUCCUUUCUGUGCAGAAGCUUUUUAGUUCCACGUGGGUCGUUUGUUUGCUCUUGUCGCUUUCGCCUUUGGUGUCCAGGGUGGAGAAGUCACCGCCGAGACCGAGGCCGAGGAAGAGGGCUCUGCCUUUGUCUGGGUGAGGGGUCCGGGGCAAGCACUGCUGACCUUGACUGCUCGGGGAGGCGGCCGGGUCGCACACGUGGGAAGAGAGGCCCUCGGACGCUGCUGCAGGGGCAGGUGGAAGCAGGCUCGGAUGCCCGACCCCUCCGCUGCCAUGGGCUGUCCCCAGCUGAGUGUCGCAGGGUGAGGCGGAGAUCCGGAGCAGCGCUGAGGGUGUGGAGAGCGGAGGGCGGCCCGCGCGGGCUGAACGGCUCCUGCCGAGCCCGGGAGGCGCGGAGAGCGCGGGCGGGUGGGCGAGCCGGGAGCAGGGGGGAGGCUCGCAGCACGCGGAUGGCGGUGGCCGCCCGGAGCCCCAUCCGAGAGGCCGCGGGCCGCGCUGGGGGGGCGGACCUUCAUCAGGCGGCCGGCGGGGAGCCCCGAAGGGUCCAAAUGGACACGUCCUCGUCCUUGCGCACAGCACACAGCGGGGCGACUUGAGCCUGGAUUGGAGGGCGGGGGGCCCGCAUCAC